CCUACGGGAGGCAGCAGUGAGGAAUAUUGGUCCAUGGUCGUAAGCCUGAACCAGCCAAGUCGCGUGAGGGAUGAAGGUUCUAUGGAUCGUAAACCUCUUUUAUAAGGGAAUAAAGUGCGGGACGUGUCCCGUUUUGUAUGUACCUUAUGAAUAAGGAUCGGCUAACUCCGUGCCAGCAGCCGCGUUAAUACGGAGGAUCCGAGCGUUAUCCGGAUUUAUUGGGUUUAAAGGGUGCGUAGGCGGGCUUUUAAGUCAGCGGUGAAAGUCUGUGGCUCAACCCUAGAAUUGCCGUUGAAACUGGGAGGCUUGAGUAUGUGUGAGGCAGGCGGAAGGCGUGGUGUAGCGGUGAAAUGCUUAGAUAUCACGCAGAACCCCGAUUGCGAAGGCAGCCGGCCAAGCCAUGACUGACGCUGAUGCACGAAAGCGUGGGUAUCAAACAGGAUUAGAUACCCCAGUAGUC
rnacentral:rRNA from 1 species